rnacentral:rRNA from 1 species
CGUAAACAAAGGGAGGCGAAGCCGCGAGGUGGAGCAAAUCCCAAAAAUAACGUCUCAGUUCGGAUUGUAGUCUGCAACUCGACUACAUGAAGCUGGAAUCGCUAGCAAUCGCGAAUCAGAAUGUCGCGGUGAAUACGUUCCCGGGUCUUGUACACACCGCCCGUCACACCAUGGGAGUCAGCAACGCCCGAAGCCGGUGACCCAACCGAAAGGAGGGAGCCGUCGAAGGUGGGGCCGAUAACUGGGGUGAAGUCGUAACAAGGUAUC